rnacentral:rRNA from 1 species
GACGAACGCUGGCGGCGUGCUUAACACAUGCAAGUCGUACGGUAAGGCCCUUUCGGGGGUACACGAGUGGCGAACGGGUGAGUAACACGUGAGUAACCUGCCCACAACUUUGGGAUAACGUUAGGAAACUGGUGCUAAUACUGGAUAUGUGCUCCUGCUGCAUGGUGGGGGUUGGCAAGCUCCGGCGGUGGUGGAUGGACUCGCGGCCUAUCAGCUUGUUGGUGGGGUAGUGGCCUACCAAGGCGGCGACGGGUAGCCGGCCUGGGAGGGUGACCGGCCACAUUGGGACUUAGAUACGGCCCAGACUCCUACGGGAGGCAGCAGUGGGGAAUAUUGCACAAGGGGCGCAAGCCGGAUGCAGCAACGCCGCGUGCGGGAUGACGGCCUUCGGGUUGUAAACCGCUUUCAGCAGGGACGAAGCUUUUUGUGACGGUACCUGCAGAAGAAGCACCGGCUAACUACGUG